UUUUUUGCCGUCUGGUCAUCCUCGUCGGUCUUCUGCUUCUGGGUAUCGACAUCGUUAUCCUCAUCAUCUUCAGCUGCCCGCUUGCCCGUAGCUGACUCAGCUCCCUCAUCUUCAUCUCCAUCCUCUUCCUCACCAUCACCUUCUUCCUCCCCACCUUCUUCCUCUUCUUCAUCUACCUCGUUGUCAGCCUCCGGCUCCCCAUUUUCCUCAUUAGCAUUCCCGUGAGCAGGGGCGUCUCUUCCAUUUUCCGCCUCUUCCACAACUUCCUUCUUCUCCUUUAAGUCCUCGGUGGUGAUUUCGGAGCUGGUGUCUACGGCUGCGUCUGACAUGGUGGGGCACGCCGGUGACGCGAUGCAGGGGAUAAAAAAGAAAGCGACAGUUCAGGGACUCUGGCGAUAAAGCUGCCGGAGUCCGCGGCGGCGGAGGCGGCUGCGGCGAGCAAGGAGGCUGACGACGCACAAUGCAAAGACGGCUUUUCAGAGCAGCCAGUGGGGCAGGACAAUGUUUUUCAUCAAAUGUCCUUAGAUUUGGAGGAGGUUUCCCCAGUGUAUCCAGUGGUUGUCUUCCUCUUGAUUAAUAUUAAAGGAGGAGAAAAAGUGUGUAUUGGGGUCAGUGCAGAAAACAAAUCAUCCAAGCACACGAAGUGGAAUUUGCUAAUAGCAUUACUACUCACCCAGUGACUUCGGAGUCACAACCCAGGACACGGUUUUCCGCCCAUUUCUACAGACACAGUGAGAUUCUUCAUUCUUCUCUGUUGGAACAGCCAGGAAAGCGGAAGAGACCUCCAGCUGCACAACGACCUGUCCCCCACACCCAACCACAAGUUUAUGAAGGGAUGCAGAACAGCAUGAAUACUGCAAAAGAUGCUCUGUGCAUCAGAGAAGUGUCCUUACCCGAAUGCAGGUGGACAAGCAGUUAAACACAGUGGCUUUGAGUGUGAAGGCUUCUCCUCGCACCACAGAAUAAGGAAGGGUGAGUUCUAGGAAGAAAGGCUGGAAGGCUUGAAGAGACACGAUAGGAGAGAGGCCAAACCCUGUGGUUCCAGACAAGCAGAAUGCGCUGGCCUUCCACUCUGUGAUGGUUUCAGGGACCUGGUCACCAGCUCACUUAUACCUAAUGAGCUAGUGAAGGAGCAGAGAAGAGGAGUAUAAGCAAAUCUUUUUUUUUUUUUUUUAACACAAAGCAUGGCUGAUCCUAGAACAUGAUAACUCAGUAACCUAGUGUGGUAAAUGCUAAACUUGAUCUAAGGGUUGGUGCUCCUGGUGAGGUUUAAAGUUUUUUUUCUCCCUACCUCCCUUACUCCCUCCUUCCCUCCCUCCCUUUAUUUCUUCCUCUUUUCUUUCAUUCUUUCCUUCCUUUUGUUCUUUCUUUCAAUCUCCCUCCCCUCCCCUUCCCUUUCCUUUAUUUAAGAGGGCUGGUAGCAUCCUACUUUCUAUUAUCUUAGUUAUCAAUAGACUAAAUUAGAAAAAAAAUUAGCAUUGUUUAAUUAUGAGAUAAAUGAACUAUAAACCUAAAUAUUUACCAGAAAAGAGCAGAGCAGAACUAAAAGGAUCAGGAAUCCAGGAUAACAUCAGUCAUACAGCAGGAUUCAAACCCUCUCCUAAACUAAAUUCCAGGCAACACACAACUUACUCAACUACCACCAAAUCCCAGAUCCAGGUCUCAGGGAAGUACUUCCGGACUAUCUCUUUCACUUGCAAUAUCUGAGGUUCUUCUUCGAUCAUUGGGUACAUUAUUUCUACGGCUCCUGGGGGUACACCUCGCAGACCUGGUCCUGGAAGACAACACACAGGCCUCAGUGUGAACCUCAUUUUUAUCAUCAAUUUCUUAUUGCUGCCUUAUUUCUCAAAUGGAAUAAGGUCAUACGCUCAGGGAAUGUUUAUUAUUGGAACAAUUUAACCUACCAGCUUGUUAUUUUGUUCACUUUCCUAUAAAAAGGCUAAUCCUAUUUUUUCUUCAAAUAGAAUCUAGAGCUAAAUAUAUUUUUCUUUAUAAAUAAAAACAAAUGACCUGUACAUGUACCUCCUGAAUCUAAAAUAAAAGUUGAUUAAAAAAAAAC
rnacentral:lncRNA from 1 species